GAUGAACGCUAGCUACAGGCUUAACACAUGCAAGUCGAGGGGCAGCAUGAAAGGAACUUCGGUUCUUUUUGAUGGCGACCGGCGCACGGGUGCGUAACGCGUAUCGAACCUGCCUCAUACUCGGGGAUAGCCUUGCGAAAGUAAGAUUAAUACCCGGCGGUCUCGGAUGGCCGCAUGACUAUCCGAGUGAAGAUUUAUCGGUAUGAGAUGGCGAUGCGUCCCAUUAGCUAGUUGGUGAGGUAACGGCUCACCAAGGCAUCGAUGGGUAGGGGUUCUGAGAGGAAGGUCCCCCACAUUGGAACUGAGACACGGUCCAAACUCCUACGGGAGGCAGCAGUGAGGAAUAUUGGUCAAUGGGCGUUAGCCUGAACCAGCCAAGUAGCGUGAAGGAUGAAGGCUCUAUGGGUCGUAAACUUCUUUUAUAUAAGAAUAAAGUGCAGUAUGUAUACUGUUUUGUAUGUAUUAUAUGAAUAAGGAUCGGCUAACUCCGUGCCAGCAGCCGCGGUAAUACGGAGGAUCCGAGCGUUAUCCGGAUUUAUUGGGUUUAAAGGGAGCGUAGGUGGACUGGUAAGUCAGUUGUGAAAGUUUGCGGCUCAACCGUAAAAUUGCAGUUGAUACUGUCAGUCUUGAGUACAGUAGAGGUGGGCGGAAUUCGUGGUGUAGCGGUGAAAUGCUUAGAUAUCACGAAGAACUCCGAUUGCGAAGGCAGCUCACUGGACUGCAACUGACACUGAUGCUCGAAAGUGUGGGUAUCAAAC
rnacentral:rRNA from 1 species